rnacentral:rRNA from 1 species
UACGUAGGUGGCAAGCGUUGUCCGGAAUCAUUGGGCGUAAAGGGCGCGCAGGCGGUUCGGUAAGUCGGUCUUAAAAGUGCGGGGCUUAACCCCGUGAUGGGAUUGAAACUGCCGGACUGGAGUGUCGGAGAGGAAAGCAGAAUUCCUAGUGUAGCGGUGAAAUGCGUAGAGAUUAGGAAGAACACCGGUGGCGAAGGCGACUUUCUGGACGACAACUGACGCUGAGGCGCGAAAGCGUGGGGAGCAAACAGG